rnacentral:tRNA from 1 species
GCCCGUGUGGUGAAAUGGCAGACACAGUUGACUCAAAAUCAACCGCGAAAGCAUGCUGGUUCGAGUCCAGUCACGGGCA